rnacentral:tRNA from 1 species
GCCUCUGUAGCUCAGUUGGUUAGAGCACUGCACCGGAAUCGCAGGGCCGUAGGUUCAAUUCCUACCAGAGGAG